rnacentral:lncRNA from 1 species
GGGCUCUGGAGGCAGUACAACAUCCAAUAUAUUCACUACAGACACACAAACACAUUGACAGAGAGAGGAAUGUUAUCAUCAUACCAUAUUCCACAUGUAUAUGACUAGUAGGGAACUUUCAAUGGUCUAAAGUUGCUGUUCUUAUUGUUUUCAACACACCUGUAGUGGAGAUCUUGGUCCAUUCUCCUUUAAGGAAGUCUUCUAGUUUCUCUCUCAGUUCAGACACAGUCUUACUCACAUCUCCAAAGUACUGAAGAGGACGGACAACGAUGCUGGGUAAGUCUGAAGAUACACUGACACUGGAGAGAGACUGAUACCUCUAGAGAGAGAGAGGGAGAGAGAGAGAAAGAGAGUGAGGUAGAGUGAGAGCGAGGGAGAGAGAAGGACAGAGAGAGAGAGGGACAGAGAGAGAGAGGGCGACAGAUAGACAGAGAGAGGGACAGAGGGAGAGAGGGACAGAGAGAGAGAGGGACAGAGAGAGAGAGGGACAGAGAGAGAGAGGGACAGAAACAGAGGGACAGAGGGGGACGGACAGAGGGGGAUGGACAGAGGGAUAGAGAGGGAAGGACAGAGGGAGAGAGAGGGAUUGAUAAAGGGAGAGAGAGGGACGGACAGAGAGAGAGGGAUGGACAGAAAGAGAGAGGGACGGACAGAGAGAGACAGGGACGGACAGAGAGAGAGAGGGACGGACAGAGAGAGAGAGAGAGAGAGAGAGAGACAGGGACGGACAGAGAGAGAGAGGGACGGACAGAGAGAGAGAGAGAGAGAGAGACGGACAGAGAGCGAGAGAGAGAGAGAGGGACGGACAUAGAGAGAGAGGGACUGACAGAGAGAGAGAGAGAGAGAGGGACGGACGGAGAGAGAGAGAGAGACAGGGACGGACAGAGAGAGAGAGAGAGAGACAGAGAUGGACAGAGAGAGAAAGCGAGAGUAACGACAGAGAGAGAGGGACGGACAAAGAGAGAGAGGGAUGGACAGAGAGAGAGAGAGAGAGGGACGGAAAGAGAGAGAGAGAGAGAGAGAGAGAGAUGGACAGAGAGAGAGAUGGACGACAGAGAGAGAGAGAGAGAGGGACGACAGAGAGAGGGAGAGGGACGGACAGAGAGAGGGAGAGGCACGGAGAGAGAGAGGGACGGACAGAGAGAGAGAGACAGAGAGAGAGGGACAGAGAGAGAGGGACAGAGAGAGGGGGACAGAGAGAGAGAGGGACAGAAAGAGAGAAGGACAAAUAGGGACAAAGAGAGAGGGACAGAGAGAGAGGGACAGAGAGACAGGGACAGAGAGACAGGGACAGAGGGGGACAAAGAGAGAGCGACAAAGAGAGAGCCAUCAAGAGGAACAAAGAGAGAGAUGGACAAAGAGGGACAAAGAGAAAGACAGAGAGAGAUAGGGACAGAGAGAGAGGGACAAAGAGGGACAAAGAGAAAGAGGGACAGAGAGAGAGAGGGACAGAGAGAGAGAGGGACAGAGAGAGAGGGACAAAGAGGGACAAAGAGAGAGAGGGACAAAGAGGGACAAAGAGGAACAAAGAGAAAGAGGCACAAAGAGGGAGAGGGACAGAGAGAGAGAUGGACAGAGAGAGAGAGAGGGACAGAGAGAGAGAGAGUGAGUGAGAGAGAGAGAGACAGGACAACAGAAUGAUUGAGAUGAAUAGUUUCACAUUAAGUUAAUUUCAUAUCACAUGUAACAAGGCAGUUUAGUGACCUGGAGGAAAUGAUGUGAUCCUCUGUGUGUGAGAGCUGCUCCAGCUCAGUGCUUCUCUUCCUCAGCUCAGCUAUCUCCUGCUUCAGUUGCUCCAGGAGUCCUUCAGCUU